AUAUGACCGACGCGGGUCAAAGUGUAUACUAUCUGUUCUUAUGAGUAUAAUAUCUGAUACGGGUUGUAUUUGGACCCAAGAUAUUAAACUUAUUUUUGCAAGUUGGCAGAGUGCCUGAAGCCUGCAUCAUCUCCGCCACGGGUCGGCCCGGUAUUGCACUAUCUUCGUGAUCGGCCCACGCUUU